rnacentral:lncRNA from 1 species
UUUGAUCCAUUAAACAUGAUAAAGUUGGAUCAUGGUCCACUAAUGGGCUCCAAGCCCAAAGAUUUACACGAGCCCAAUAAAAUGUCAAAUUGGCCCCCAUCAUGAUAUACUCUCCCCUAGUCUCUAGUGAUCUAAACGAAGUGGUUCACUGGAGACUCAAAUUGUGUGAUUAAUUUGAUUGAUACUGUAAAGGAACGAGUUUCGUUAACAUCGAUCUUUGAGAGAUAGGCAGCUGCAAAGAAAGAUUGGCUCAAAUAACUCUAAUAAUAAUAAACUCAUUAAUAUCGAGCUUUAAGAAAUAUACGAGCUGCAAAGAAAUGUUAACUCAGAUAUUCUCAUAAAAACGAGCUCAUUAACACCGAACUCUAAAUCUAUUGGUAGACGAACUGCAAAAUAAAGAUUAGUUAAAAUAAUUAUAAUCACAACGAGCUGCUUAAUAUCGAGCUCAAGAUAGUGAAGCGGAUUGUUAUGACAAUCUCGAAGGAUAAAUAAGCCUGCCCAUAAACUCCGAGCUUGGUUAGGCGUUGAGAGCUUAAUAGAAUGGCGAUCUGAGGAUUUCAUGCGAGUUCCACGAACAACUAGGCUAGGAGAUGAGAUGCGAGCUGAUGUUCUCUCGAGUUUUAUUUGGAACUAUUAGUUCAUAUGUCGGGGUAAACUAUCACACCUGCAGGAUUAGCACAAUCUGCAAAAAUGCUGGAGGAGAUAAAAUCAAGUAUUCUUAUUAUUGAAUUAAAUAUUCAAAUCAUAUCCUCCUAGAUUUCAUUACAAACCAACAUGUUAUAAUUAAAGUUAACUUAAGAGUACUACCACAUGUCUGUGCAAACAGUCAAAACAUGUAAUACAAAUCAAACAUUUUUUCUAUUAGUGGGACUAUAUAACAUGUAUAUCCACAGCAUACUAGAAAUAUGAAUUAGCUUCCACAUAAAAUAUAAAAGAUUAAAUUCCAUUACUCAAAUACUCAGCACCACGUGUGUUCGCCGAUCUCGCCAAUCAAGAGCAUAUUAAUGUACAACAUGCUUGCAAUAUAAAACCAAUUUUAAAAGCGAACAACAUUAGGCAAUUAUGAAAUUUUCAUAUAAACUGGCAGAUGCUCAUUACCCUAAAACAUAGCACAAUUCAUGGAAAAGAAAUCAUACGAGAAUUUUGGAAAUCAAGAAUCCUAUAACAGACCCAUUAUUAGAAUAAAAUCAUAUCAGAUCAAAUCAUAUUAAGAGUAUAUUUCUUGAACAUCCAUAUAAACAUGUGAUUAAAUUUCAUAAACUCAUGAAUAGGAAUAUACGAGAAUUGCUAUAUAAGAAUUUUUUCUGUUUAUUGAUGACCCUCAACAUCUCAGCUCGAUUCGAAGUUCCCACAGACGGCGCCACUUGAUGGUGCUCGAAUUUCGCACCCUCAAGACCUUCUCCGAAACCCUACUUUGAGCGUUGCCGGAGAAUCCACCACUAGCCGGAUCAGACAGCGGUGGCUAGAUGUGUAAAGGAUAAAAUAAAGUUUUUAGAGAAAAAGUAAAGAAAUAUAUUAUUGAUGUCUUGAAAACGUAACCCUAAUGAGGGUUUUUACAUGUGUUUAUAUAGGUCAGUUAAUAUUCUAGAUAUUUUCCUAUAAACAAGAGGCG